rnacentral:rRNA from 1 species
CCUACGGGUGGCAGCAGUCGAGAAUCAUUCACAAUGGGGGAAACCCUGAUGGUGCGACGCCGCGUGGAGGAAUGAAGGUCUUCGGAUUGUAAAACCCUGUCAUGUGGGAGCAAAUUAAAAAGAUAGUACCACAAGAGGAAGAGACGGCUAACUCUGUGCCAGCAGCCGCGGUAAUACAGAGGUCUCAAGCGUUGAUCGGAACCACUGGGCGUAAGGCGUGCGUAGGCUGUUUCGUAAGUCGUGUGUGAAAGGCGCGGGCUCAACCCGCGGACGGCACAUGAUACUGCGAGACUAGAGUAAUGGAGGGGGAACCGGAAUUCUCGGUGUAGCAGUGAAAUGCGUAGAUAUCGAGAGGAACACUCGUGGCGAAGGCGGGUUCCUGGACAUUAACUGACGCUGAGGCACGAAGGCCAGGGGAGCGAAAGGGAUUAGAUACCCGGGUAGUC